UGGGGAAUAUUGGACAAUGGGCGAAAGCCUGAUCCAGCAAUGCCGCGUGAGUGAUGAAGGCCUUAGGGUUGUAAAGCUCUUUUACCAGGGAUGAUAAUGACAGUACCUGGAGAAUAAGCUCCGGCUAACUCCGUGCCAGCAGCCGCGGUAAUACGGAGGGAGCUAGCGUUGUUCGGAAUUACUGGGCGUAAAGCGCGCGUAGGCGGUUACUCAAGUCAGAGGUGAAAGCCCGGGGCUCAACCCCGGAACUGCCUUUGAAACUAGGUAACUAGAAUCUUGGAGAGGUCAGUGGAAUUCCGAGUGUAGAGGUGAAAUUCGUAGAUAUUCGGAAGAACACCAGUGGCGAAGGCGACUGACUGGACAAGUAUUGACGCUGAGGUGCGAAAGCGUGGGGAGCAAACA
rnacentral:rRNA from 1 species